ACACCUCAACUCUCAUGGUUCGCCGUGAUGAGCUUGGACUCUGGGGGUUUUGCUGGCCUGCGGUCGGCUCCCCUCAAAUGAAUCAGCCUCCCAGUGUUUGGUGGCAUCACGGGUGUGAUAAAUAUCUACGCUCGCGGUUGUCUGCCAGGUAACCUUUGGCGACAAAGGUUCGCUGGAGCUCACAGAUGUCUCUCCUCGGCGAGGACAGCUUUUUGAAC
rnacentral:misc_RNA from 1 species